rnacentral:tRNA from 1 species
GGAGAGUGUGGCGGAACAGCAGACGCGCGUCGCUCGCCGCAAGGCGAUCUCCGUCGCCGCCCUUUGCCCAGACACGGGCCGCAGGCGCAUGGUUAUCUGGGACGGCGUGGUGGCAACACCGUGCGGGUUCAACUCCCGCCACUCUCCA